rnacentral:rRNA from 1 species
AAGGCCUUCGGGUUGUAAAGUACUUUCAGUCGUGAGGAAGGCAUUAACGUUAAUAGCGUUAGUGUUUGACUGUUAGCGACAGAAGAAGCACCGGCUAACUCCGUGCCAGCAGCCGCGGUAAUACGGAGGGUGCGAGCGUUAAUCGGAAUUACUGGGCGUAAAGCGCAUGCAGGUGGUUUGUUAAGUCAGAUGUGAAAGCCCGGGGCUCAACCUCGGAACCGCAUUUGAAACUGGCAGGCUAGAGUACUGUAGAGGGGGGUAGAAUUUCAGGUGUAGCGGUGAAAUGCGUAGAGAUCUGAAGGAAUACCGGUGGCGAAGGCGGCCCCCUGGACAGAUACUGACACUCAGAUGCGAAAGCGUGGGGAGCAAACAGGAUUAGAUACCCUGGUAGUCCACGCCGUAAACGAUGUCUACUUGGAGGUUGUGGCCUUGAGCCGUGGCUUUCGGAGCUAACGCGUUAAGUAGACCGCCUGGGGAGUACGGUCGCAAGAUUAAAACUCAAAUGAAUUGACGGGGGCCCGCACAAGCGGUGGAGCAUGUGGUUUAAUUUGAUGCAA